AAGGCGUGCGCCACCAACGCCCGGCUUGAAAAAAAAUUUUAAAAGGUGCUUUUACCCACUGAGCCAUCUUCCUCAGUUUCAAAAUAAUUAAUAAAUUCAUCAUUUUGGACAUUUUUCUGUUUAUAGUAUAAACAUAGUUUCUGGGGCUGAGGAUGAAGCUGGGUGGCAGAGUACGUGCCUAACGUAAGGCCUUGGGUAUGACCCCUCCAUUGUAGACCCAAACAAAGCCAUAAUUAUAGUAUCUACAGUCCCUGCUGUCAACUUUCCAUUCCAGGUGAGUCAGUAGCAACCCCCUGUGCAGUCCCUGAACCUGUUGAGGCCCUGGCUUGAAAGCUGCCAUUUUCGUUUCUUCUCCAUACUUUUUGCCCCCACCCCAAACAUUCUUGCUAUGUAGCUGGCCUUAAACUGGCUAAGCAUCCCAAGUCCUGGGAUUGCACAUGUGCUCCACUGUGCUCAACCUCCUCUCAUAACUUCCUGUGUGUAUGAAUUCAUGGUUUUGCUAGUUUCUGAGCUUCCUAACAUACUUCUCAGCACACGCUUGCCAUAUUAUGGGACUUACUAUUUUGGCUUAAGACUUGUUGGUGUUGCUGCAUUAAGGACUUCCAGCAUUUCCUGACUGCCCAAUUGCCCUGUGUUAGCUGAUGGUCAUCCCGAAGGAAAUCAAGCUCAGUGUAUAUGGUACCUGCCCUGUGCUCCACAUCACUUUCCCCCUCUCAUUCCAGAGGCUCUGCACCAGGAUUUUCCCAUGUGACCUUCUGGCACAGGCCUGCUUGAACAUGCUAGUUUCCCACGUUCUCUGUUCUGCUUUUUUCAGGAAGGGUCUUGAAUGAAAAAGAGGCCCCAUCCCACAGACGGCACUUUUAUGAUACCUCACCAUGGGAAACACAGCCACUCCAACCUACCAGUGCCACUUCAGGAAUUGAUCCCCCAGGAACACUAGAGUAUGCAGAGUGGUUCUGACACAGAGUUAUUUAUUGCAGUGUUUGUGAUAUUAAAAUAGAAAUACAUUCCAUUGAUAAGGAUCUUUCAGUUAACAUUAGUCACCUGAAACAUGUACAACCCAGCACAAGUCAUACAAAAAAAGGUUGAUAAUGGAAAGAUCUCCAGUAUGUAUUUUCAGAGAGCCAGCAGGAUAUAUGAACUGUUGCCAUGUGAAUAAAAAAUAUACCAAAUUGUUUAAAUAUCAUAAAUACUUCUAGAAGGGACUGGAGGACAAAGGAGAGACAAGUUUUAUUUAUUUUUGAGGCAGGAUCUUGACUAUAUAUAAUCGUGGCUGACCUGGAAUUCACUAUGUAGACCAGGGUAGACUACAAUUCAUGGACAGUCCUGCCUCUGCCUCCUGAGUACUGGGACCAUAGGCUUUCACCACAGCCUAGCUUCAUCAAUUCUCUUUUGUAUUUGAAAAAGCUGUCUAUAAACAAAUAUAUAAAUAAAAUUACACCUUUCAGUGCGUA